rnacentral:rRNA from 1 species
GGGGAGGCGUGAGAUGACAGAUGAUAGCUCUUCUUGCAUUCUUUGGGUGGUGGUGCAUGGCCGUUCUUAGUUGGUGGAGUGAUUUGUCUGGUUAAUUCCCCGUUAACGANACGAGACCUUAACCUGCUAAAUAGGGUACGGGAAUAGGCUUCGUCUGUCCCGUGAUCGCUUCUUAGAGGGACUUUGCGGUUAUAAAUCGCAAGGAAGUUUAAGGCAAUAACAGGUCUGUGAUGCCCUUAGAUGUCCUGGGCUGCACGCGCGCUACACUGAUGCGUUCAUCGAGUUUAUCCUUGGCCGAGAGGCCUGGGUNAAUCUUUAGUACGCAUCGUGAUGGGGAUCGAUUAUUGCAAUUAUUAAUCGUGAACGAGGAAUGCCUAGUAUGCGCAAGUCACCAGCUUGUGCAGAUUACGUCCCG